UGUAUGUAUAUUAUUUAUAAUCGAUAAAAACAAUAUUAUCAUCGUGCACGGUUAACGUACGGCGACAAUGUCGUGCGUUUCAAAAUCAAGUUUAAAUUACCAAUAACUCGCAGUUUUCAUUUACGAGAUAGUAUGAUUUUUUGUUUUUUUUGUUUUUUUAUAUUUCGCCGCAUAUUUAUUUACUUACCGCAUCACAAUAAUAUUGUACUGUAAUGUCGGGUGCGUCCGACGGCGAUUCCCAAACGUUUAAACAUUAAACAAACACCGAGGAACGGAUUUAAACAUGCAUUUGAAAAUCGACGAAAAACCUGUUAGAUUCGUAAAAAAAGUCCUGGAAAAAAAAAAAAAAUCGCAUAUAAAUAUUUAAGAAACUCAAUUUGUAAUGAAUCUAAAAAUUUCCCCCGUUCAAUGCGUUUCCAACCCUAUUAAAUACAAUUGUUUAACGCUGAAAAAUGACUGUCCCGAAGUAUUUUUUUAUAUAUAAUGUGAACAAUUUUGUUUGAAAAAAAAAACACUUGUAUUAAUCGUUUUUGUAGUGUUAGAAAAUCAUUUUUAAUAAGUUAAAGCCAUUAUAGAGAGGAGGACUUUUAUACGCCUCUACCGUUUUUGCUUUUUAAAAUAUUUCACAAGUGAUUUUUUGACGCUUUUAAUCGGUUUUUUUUUUUCGUGGAUUUUGAGCGCAUAUUUAACCGUUCCCUACUUGCAGUAUAUAAAAAUUGAGUAAUUUUCGAGGUGCGCUCCGUCGAGCAUACGCAGAACAUGAUGAUAUUACUACAGAAAUCAAAAUUAACGUAACGCGUAUAUCGCACGGUAAACUUAUAAAAUCGCCGAGAUUCGAUUCUAUAUGAAAAAAUAAAACAAAAUCCCGAUAUAAUUAUUGUUAUUCAAAGUAUUUGAAAUACGAUAAAACGAUCGUGAAAUUAACAAACAUGUACGCACGAUUUUAUCCAAACAAUAUUACAAUAUCGCCCGCAUAAUAUUAUUAUAACAGUUGAGUAGGUGUACGUAAUACUUUAAUAUAUUUAUAAUAACGUAUGUUCAAUAAAACACAAUUAAAACAAUCAAAUUUAAAUUUAAAAUGUUAAUCAAAAUUAGUUUGGUGAAAAUAGAAAUGAAAAAAAAAAAUAUAUUUUUAGAUGUUACAUCGCCGUG